rnacentral:rRNA from 1 species
CACGUAGGGUGCGAGCGUUGUCCGGAAUUAUUGGGCGUAAAGAGCUCGUAGGCGGUGUGUCGCGUCGGCCGUGAAAACCUGCAGCUUAACUGUGGGCGUGCGGUCGAUACGGGCAUCACUGGAGUUCGGCAGGGGAGACUGGAAUUCCUGGUGUAGCGGUGAAAUGCGCAGAUAUCAGGAGGAACACCGGUGGCGAAGGCGGGUCUCUGGGCCGAUACUGACGCUGAUGAGCGAAAGCGUGGGGAGCGAACAGG